rnacentral:rRNA from 1 species
CACGUAGGGGGCAAGCGUUGUCCGGAUUUAUUGGGCGUAAAGAGCUCGUAGGUGGUUCGAUAAGUCGGGUGUGAAACCUCCAGGCUCAACCUGGAGACGCCACCCGAUACUGUCGUGACUAGAGUCCAGUAGGGGAGUGGGGAAUUCCUGGUGUAGCGGUGGAAUGCGCAGAUAUCAGGAGGAACACCGGUGGCGAAGGCGCCACUCUGGGCCGGUACUGACGCUGAGGAGCGAAAGCGUGGGGAGCGAACAGG